UUGAACGCUGGCGGCAUGCCUUACACAUGCAAGUCGAACGGCAGCAUGAUCUAGCUUGCUAGAUUGAUGGCGAGUGGCGAACGGGUGAGUAAUACAUCGGAACGUGCCCUGUAGUGGGGGAUAACUAGUCGAAAGAUUAGCUAAUACCGCAUACGACCUGAGGGUGAAAGUGGGGGACCGCAAGGCCUCAUGCUAUAGGAGCGGCCGAUGUCUGAUUAGCUAGUUGGUGGGGUAAAGGCCCACCAAGGCGACGAUCAGUAGCUGGUCUGAGAGGACGAUCAGCCACACUGGGACUGAGACACGGCCCAGACUCCUACGGGAGGCAGCAGUGGGGAAUUUUGGACAAUGGGCGAAAGCCUGAUCCAGCAAUGCCGCGUGUGUGAAGAAGGCCUUCGGGUUGUAAAGCACUUUUGUCCGGAAAGAAAUGGCUCUGGUUAAUACCUGGGGUCGAUGACGGUACCGGAAGAAUAAGGACCGGCUAACUACGUGCCAGCAGCCGCGGUAAUACGUAGGGUCCAAGCGUUAAUCGGAAUUACUGGGCGUAAAGCGUGCGCAGGCGGUUGUGCAAGACCGAUGUGAAAUCCCCGAGCUUAACUUGGGAAUUGCAUUGGUGACUGCACGGCUAGAGUGUGUCAGAGGGGGGUAGAAUUCCACGUGUAGCAGUGAAAUGCGUAGAGAUGUGGAGGAAUACCGAUGGCGAAGGCAGCCCCCUGGGAUAACACUGACGCUCAUGCACGAAAGCGUGGGGGAGCAAACAGGAUUAGAUACCCUGGUAGUCCACGCCCUAAAACGAUGUCAACUAGUUGUUGGGGAUUCAUUUCCUUAGUAACGUAGCUAACGCGUGAAGUUGACCGCCUGGGGAGUACGGUCGCAAGAUUAAAACUCAAAGGAAUUGACGGGGACCCGCACAAGCGGUGGAUGAUGUGGAUUAAUUCGAUGCAACGCGAAAAACCUUACCUACCCUUGACAUGCCACUAACGAAGCAGAGAUGCAUUAGGUGCUCGAAAGAGAAAGUGGACACAGGUGCUGCAUGGCUGUCGUCAGCUCGUGUCGUGAGAUGUUGGGUUAAGUCCCGCAACGAGCGCAACCCUUGUCUCUAGUUGCUACGAAAGGGCACUCUAGAGAGACUGCCGGUGACAAACCGGAGGAAGGUGGGGAUGACGUCAAGUCCUCAUGGCCCUUAUGGGUAGGGCUUCACACGUCAUACAAUGGUGCAUACAGAGGGUUGCCAAGCCGCGAGGUGGAGCUAAUCCCAGAAAAUGCAUCGUAGUCCGGAUCGUAGUCUGCAACUCGACUACGUGAAGCUGGAAUCGCUAGUAAUCGCGGAUCAGCAUGCCGCGGUGAAUACGUUCCCGGGUCUUGUACACACCGCC
rnacentral:rRNA from 1 species